GUGGUGGCUGCGAGAAACGCAAAGGGGAAGGAGAAAAGAGGCCUGAAGAAGGUGACUUGCUUGACCAACAGAACGUAGCACGAGUGAAAUUCUAAGAUUUCCAAGGCCAGGUCAUAAGAAGUCUUGCAGCUUCCACCCAGCCCUUUGAAGAACUCACUCUGGUGAUCCUGAGUCACCUUGGAAGAAGUCUGACUCCCUUCAGGUCAUCAUGCUAGAGAGGCCACACGUGUGCCAGUCAACAUGCCAGCUGAGCCCAGUCUUCCAGCCGAGGCACCAUACUGGUAAGUGAAGCCAUCUUGUACCCGCAAUACUAGCCUAUCCAUCAGCUGACACCCACCAAGGGACCUCUGUAGACUCCACAUGGAACAGAAGAAUUGCCCAGCUGGGCUUAUUCCUGAAUUCCUGUCCAGCAAACAAAGAGUCAUAGAGUAGAGAGGAUGAUGUCUUGAGCCACUGACUUUUCAGGUAGUUCAUUCUGCAGCAGUAGAUACCCGACCUCAAAAAGUUCAUCAGCUAGUUGAAGGGGCAGGGUACAGAGAUUAUGAAAACGUGACAAUGCAGAGACAAUGGAUGAAUGUGUAAUGAGUAGUAAAGACAGUCAGGUUCUGUCAUAAUGUAGGGAAGGAAGAGAUCCCUUUCACUUGGAUAAUGAAGGCAGACACUCCAGAAGAGGUGAGCUUUCCACGGACCCUGGAAGUACAGGGAUUAAGAUGGACGGAGGCACAGGGAGUUCUUGGCAAGCAGAGAGGUGACGUUCAGAAGCCAUCGGCAGUCCCAGGCAGUCCGUGUGGUUCCUUUUGGCUAGAGCAGAGGGUUUCCGCAGUAGAGCAAGACGCUGUGGGCAGGAAAGAUGCUUUGCCUCCAUCCUGGGCAACAUCUGGAGGGCUUUGAGUCGUGGGUGAUGGAAUCAAGUGAUAUUUCUGGGAAAUCAAUAUGAUGACUUGAUGCCCUUUCCUUUUGUUUGCACUUCAAGCGGUGCCCCCACAGUUCGGCAGUUCCAGGAUUUGGUAAAUUAAUUCAUCAUCAGCCUGUUUGUUCUCUUUGUGAUAGGAUACUCUGAAGAGUAUUUUUUGUGGACUUAGACCACUAAAUUUUAUUUAUUUGUUUUUAAUUGAAGUGCAGUUGAUUUAUAAUGUGGUGUUAGGUUCAGGUGAACAGCAAUAUAUAUGUGUAUGUAUGUAUAUAUUCUUUUUUCAGAUUCUUUCCCAUUAUAGGUUCUUAUAAGGUACUGAGUGUAGUUCCCUGUGCGCUACAAUAGGUUUCAUCUGAAGGGUAUUUUUGACGUAUCCAUUUUGAUGAAACUUAGUUCUUAUCUCUGAAACCAUUCACCUGUUGUGUUUCUCUAGUCAGGUCAACCAGGUUGAACCCAACAAUUCCGUUAUCUCUUCUGCCAAACCAUCACUGCCCCCUGUGCUCCCCCUGCCCUGGUCUCUGCCCCCUCCCAGGGCACCUCCUAAUCCUGUUGGCUCCGAAGCCCCCCCUUGCCCCUAUUGUCUAUCCCACCUGCACAAGUGGAGCCAGCUGGGACUCUAUCUCACUUCCACUGCCAAACCCUGAGGGCCUGUGGAGAGGAGCUCAUCAUUCCUCAGCCACUCCCUCCCUUUUCCAGUCCUCUUCAGUGUGGCUUUGAAAGAUCUUUUGAACACAGAGAGUUGAUGUCAUAUAUAUGUUGAGCCUUUUUUUCUUUUUUUUUUUUUGGUCUCUUUUAGGGCCACACUGCGGCAUACGGAGGUUCCCAGGCCAGGGGUCUAACCGGAACUACAGCUGCCAGCCUACACCACAGCCACAGUAAUGCCAGAUCCAAGCCGCAUCUGCGACCUACACCACAGCUCAGGGCAACGCCGGAUCCUUAACUCACUGAGCGAGGCCAGGGAUCGAACCCACAACCUCAUGGUUUCUAGUCGGAUUCGUUUCUGCUGUGCCACGAUGGGAAGUCCGUGUGUUCAGGCUUUCGAUAGCUCCCUGGUGCCUAAAGAACACGGUGACAAAGUCUGAUCUUGGCAGACAGAGCCCUCUUCACUGGCCAUAUGUCUGGCCACCUCCCCCAUCCUAACUAGAGUAAUUAUAUUCUUCUCACAAGGGCUUUUGUGUCCUCUGGCCUUUGCAUGCAUUGUUCCCUGUGCUUCAAACACCCUUCCUUCUGCCUCAAGCCUGACUAACUCAUUCAAGUCUCAUCUCUGGUUACACCCCCUUGGGCCCCUGACACCCAGGCUGAUUGGAACUCAGCCCUGGUGCCCCUUCUCAGUGCUUAUCACAAGUAGCCCCAGUCUCUGUCCACCAGCCCGGGAGCAGGAGAUGUGUCUUUCAUCCCUGUAUCUUCCUAGCAUCCAGCUCAGAGGUUGGUACGAGUUAGGUGCUUAUUACAUAUCUAUUGCCUUGAAAUGGACUCCAUCUAGUCACACCCCCCAAAGUAUUCCACCUGCCUGCCAGUUUGGAAGCCCAGCUAUUUGAAAGUUGACUGUUUUUUCUUGACUAGGAAGGGCCGCACUUGUGGCAUAUGGAAGUUCCCAGACUAGAGGUUAAGUUGAAGCUGCAGCUGCUGGCCAAUGCCACGGCAACACCAGAUCCGAGCCACGUCUGUGACCUACGCUGUGGCUUGCGGCAACGCCAGCUCCUUAACCCACUGAGCAAGGCCCGGGAUUGAACCCGCAUUCUCACAGACCUUAUGUCAGCUGCUUAACCCACUCAGCCACAGUGCAAACGCCUGAGAAAGUUGACUUGUAGCUAUUAUAAACUGCCUGCAUCAGGAGAGCCAUUUGUGCCGAAAGCCUCGUCACUUGGAAUCUGAGCAGAGGGCAAAACAAAAUUGCCUCCUCUUCGAGCACCUUCACGACAGUUUCUCAUUCUGUGCUCACAACCACCUGACUGGAGGCAGGACAGGCGGCAGCACCCCGGUUUUCUGCACAGUGUACUGAGCUGCAGAGACACGCUUGCCCGCGCUGACCGCGGCAGAGGGGAGCUAAGUCCAGGCUGCAGUCUCACACCCCCUCCGGCAGCUGCUCUGUCAUCCUGUCUUUUUGACUCCAAGAGGGUCUUGCCCAGAUAAGUACAACACCUCUGAUGGCUUCUGUUUCGGACAGCCACAAAACCCUGGUCACCUCCUGUCCCCAAAGCCAGAAACGUAAUCCCACUGCCUCUGAUUUUCUCCCCAGCCCCUUCAGUUAAAGCUGAGCAGACAGAAAUUAUGACAUCUCUGAAUUCAGAGGCUGCAAUGAGCUGAGAAAAACAAGCAUCUGUGGCUCCUUCCAGGACCCACCAGGUGGAGGAGAUGUUGCCCAGGGUGGGGGGUGGCGGGGGGGAUGGUGAGGGGGAGGUGGGGAGGAGGCACCAAGGAAACUGCCCUCCCCCCACCGCAGAGAGUCCAUUGUAAAUUGUCUCCUAUAGCCAGAACAGCCAGGAGCAAGGUCAGGGGAGCAGAGUUUGGUCUGAGGAGAGCCAGUGUAUUGUCAACAGGUGAUAAGUGGGGUGGAAAGCCCCACUUAUCACUGACUAAUGUGUCCCCAGGUCCUCGGGAAGCUGGACCCCCACCAGUAGCCCUGAGUGCAAAGGAAUUCCCGAUGAACCCCAUGGGAAUUAGAUCAGGAGCAGAGCCAGGGCAAAGCUCUGGCUUUUCCCCUUGCUAAGUGAGCCCCAUGGUCAUUAAGCCUUUGUGGGGCUCAGCAGAGUUUCUAGGGAGCCCUGAGCCAGACGGGAGAAGAGUCUCCUGGGGUCCCCUGGAGCAGGGCCUGCGUGUGGGCAUCCUUGGAAGGAGAGGGGUCUGGAGGAAGGCAGAGGCAGUGGGAGGCUGGAGGCAGUUGCAGGAGCAGCUUACUUUCCUGCUUAAUCAUGGAGGUGGGGAGGCUUGAGGGUCAGCACAUGGAGCAGUGGGUUGGCUAAAUUUGUUUACGUUUAUUCUAGCUGAUGUACAGUGUUCUGUCAUUUUCUGCUGUCCAGCAAAGUGACCCAGUCAUACAUAUACAUAUAUAUACACACACACACACACAUUUUUUUUUUCUCACAUUCUCUCCAUCACGUUCCAUCACAAGUGCCUUAAUGUAGACUUCAGGGACUGACCAAGGGCUCCAUCUCUCUGGACCCUAAUGAUCUCAUUCAUUCCCUACAAACCCCUUGUGUGCAGGUGUCUUAUAGCUGAGAAACCAGAGAUUAAGUCAAGUGUCCAAAGUAAACAGUGUCAGUGGCCCGCUGGGAACUGAACUCAGGCCUGGCUAAUCCCAGCCUGGGCACUUCAGGUCAGUUGGACCAGAUGCCCCACAUUAAUGUUUGAGUAUGAACCCCUCCAGGGGGUCUUCUGCGGUCAUCUCUGUCUCCUUUGGGGCCCCAAUUUUCCUGGGCCCCUGAGCAUGGCAUAGUAGCAAGAGUUCAGAGUGUGAUACAGAGAGUGUGGGUUUGUUUUUCCAACUUGUGCCCUUUCACCAAAUCGGUUAAUUCCUCCGAGCCUCAGUUUCUUUAUCUAUUAGGUGGGGACACUAGUAGUAUCUUCUCUCAGUAUUUCACCAGGUUGAAGGAGGAUUAAAUGAGAAGGGCUCUGCCCAUGAUUUGA
rnacentral:lncRNA from 1 species